rnacentral:rRNA from 1 species
UACGGAAGGCAGCAGUGGGGAAUAUUGCACAAUGGGCGAAAGCCUGAUGCAGCUAUGCCGCGUGUAUGAAGAAGGCCUUAGGGUUGUAAAGUACUUUCAUCGGGGAGGAAAAACAAAACUAAUAAUUUUAUUUCUUGACGUUACCCGAAAAAGAAGCACCGGCUAACUCCGUGCCAGCAGCCGCGGUAAUACGGAGGGUGCUAGCGUUAAUCAGAAUUACUGGGCGUAAAGAGCACGUAGGUGGUUUUUUUAAGUCAGAUGUGAAAUCCCUGGGCUUUAACCUAGGAACUGCAUUUUGAAACUGAAAUACUAGAGUAUCGUAGAGGGAGGUAGAAUUCUAGGUGUAGCGGUGAAAUGCGUAGAUAUCUGGAGGAAUACCUGUGGCGAAAGCGGCCUCCUAAACGAAUACUGACACUGAGGUGCGAAAGGCGUGGGGAGCAAACAGGGAUUAGAUACC